UAGGGAAUCUUCCGCAAUGGACGCAAGUCUGACGGAGCAACGCCGCGUGAGUGAAGAAGGAUUUCGGUUCGUAAAACUCUGUUGUUAGAGAAGAACAGCGCAUAGAGUAACUGUUAUGCGUGUGACGGUAUCUAACCAGAAAGCCACGGCUAACUACGUGCCAGCAGCCGCGGUAAUACGUAGGUGGCAAGCGUUGUCCGGAUUUAUUGGGCGUAAAGCGAGCGCAGGCGGUUAAUUAAGUCUGAUGUGAAAGCCCCCGGCUCAACCGGGGAGGGUCGUUGGAAACUGGUUGACUUGAGUGCAGAAGAGGAGAGUGGAAUUCCAUGUGUAGCGGUGAAAUGCGUAGAUAUAUGGAGGAAAACCAGUGGCGAGGGCGACUCUCUGGUCUGUAACUGACGCUGAGGCUCGAAAGCGUGGGUAGCAAACAGG
rnacentral:rRNA from 1 species